AUGUGAAUAGCUCAGUUGGUAGAGCGGCAGGUUGUGCUGAGGGUCGCAGGUUCGAGUCCUGUUUCACAUCCA
rnacentral:tRNA from 1 species